rnacentral:rRNA from 1 species
CCUACGGGAGGCAGCAGUGAGGAAUAUUGGUCAAUGGACGAGAGUCUGAACCAGCCAAGUAGCGUGAAGGAUGACUGCCCUAUGGGUUGUAAACUUCUUUUAUAUGGGAAUAAAAUGUUCCACGUGUGGGAUUUUGUAUGUACCAGAUGAAUAAGGAUCGGCUAACUCCGUGCCAGCAGCCGCGGUAAUACGGAGGAUCCGAGCGUUAUCCGGAUUUAUUGGGUUUAAAGGGUGCGUAGGUGGAUUGUUAAGUCAGUUGUGAAAGUUUGCGGCUCAACCGUAACAUUGCAGUUGAAACUGGCAGUCUUGAGUACAGUAGAGGUGGGCGGAAUGCGUGGUGUAGCGGUGAAAUGCUUAGAUAUCACGCAGAACUCCGAUUGCGAAGGCAGUUCACUGGACUGCAACUGACACUGAGGCUCGAAAGUGUGGGUAUCAAACAGGAUUAGAUACCCUUGUAGUC